ensembl:snoRNA
UGGAUAAAUGACAGCAGGUGUUGACAUAUGAGUCUUUGAUGAUGAACCCUACAGGUCUGGAACUCUGAGGUCCAG